UAGAAAUAGAAAUAGAAAUAUUUUUAUUCAUGGCAAAAUAAUACAUAAAAGACACACACAAAUACAGAUCAACAACAGAGAAUUAUUUACACACAUAACAUCACAAAAGGUAAGUAAGUACACAUAGUUGCCAUGAAUAUGGUCCCGACUCAGCAUGGUGUUAGCCUGGGUGGCCAACGCUGAUCUUCCGUCAGGGCCAUAACGAAUGAUACCACGGAAAGUAUACACAUUACAAAGGAAAAUAAAAUUUAGAAUACGUUAACAAAAUGCAACAGUAUAAAUAAAUAAACAUUUUUAAAACAUUAAAAUCUAUAAUAAAAUCGGAACGUUGACAAAAUUUUUAGUCGUGAACGCAACCAAAUCUGACGUCAGCGAUUAGCGCCAUCUAUACAAUAUAGCGGGAAUUACAUUUGACGCUUUUAGCUGAUGGAGCAGUAAUUAAUAACAAGACAUGGCCGCAGUUCACGUUUUCCGAACCUUAAAACGAAGAAUAUUACAUACAAACAACAGUCAAAUCUACGUGAAUAACUACAAUAAGUAUAAGAGGGCGUUUGCGGAAGGGAUAAAAAGCGAUGGUUCCUGAUCGGCGGAGGGAUAUUAUUCCAGCAGCGGCAAGAAGUAUAGGAAUAACUGCCCCGGAAGGCUGCCGAUGCGUGCCUAGGAGUAAGAAGUCGAGUCUCAGACCGCCGGCCCCCUUGUGACCUGCGUAUGACCAGCUUCUCGUAAAGAUAAAUGGGAGACUGACAGUUUAUUACUCCAAAGAGUAAAGAGGCCAGGUGAAGCUUACGACGGUGGUGCAUUUUCAACAAGUUGUGCUGAUUAAGGAAAGGUGACACGUGGGCUCGCAGUGGAAUAGAAAAGCAAAAGCGAGCACAGGCGUUUUGUACACGUUGUAUAAGUCGCUUGGUUUUAUGAAGAAUUCGAGGUCCAAAUACCACAUCCAUAUAAUUUAAUUUCGACAAUACAAGUGACUCUACCAACCUAA